UGCUGCUUCGCUGACGAGUGGCGGACGGGUGAGUAAUGUCUGGGAAACUGCCUGAUGGAGGGGGAUAACUACUGGAAACGGUAGCUAAUACCGCAUAACGUCGCAAGACCAAAGAGGGGGACCUUCGGGCCUCUUGCCAUCGGAUGUGCCCAGAUGGGAUUAGCUAGUAGGUGGGGUAACGGCUCACCUAGGCGACGAUCCCUAGCUGGUCUGAGAGGAUGACCAGCCACACUGGAACUGAGACACGGUCCAGACUCCUACGGGAGGCAGCAGUGGGGAAUAUUGCACAAUGGGCGCAAGCCUGAUGCAGCCAUGCCGCGUGUAUGAAGAAGGCCUUCGGGUUGUAAAGUACUUUCAGCGGGGAGGAAGGGAGUAAAGUUAAUACCUUUGCUCAUUGACGUUACCCGCAGAAGAAGCACCGGCUAACUCCGUGCCAGCAGCCGCGGUAAUACGGAGGGUGCAAGCGUUAAUCGGAAUUACUGGGCGUAAAGCGCACGCAGGCGGUUUGUUAAGUCAGAUGUGAAAUCCCCGGGCUCAACCUGGGAACUGCAUCUGAUACUGGCAAGCUUGAGUCUCGUAGAGGGGGGUAGAAUUCCAGGUGUAGCGGUGAAAUGCGUAGAGAUCUGGAGGAAUACCGGUGGCGAAGGCGGCCCCCUGGACGAAGACUGACGCUCAGGUGCGAAAGCGUGGGGAGCAAA
rnacentral:rRNA from 1 species